rnacentral:misc_RNA from 1 species
GCACUGGUCAUAUUUUCAGAAAUUAGCACAUGAAGAGUUUGUUCAAAAAGUUGUUUCUCUUAUUGAUCAGGAUCUUCUCGGUACCCCCUCUAUACUAGCAAAAGAUAAAGAUGGAAAUCAAAAGUCUUAUCAUUUUGCACCUUUGAGAGCAGAUGGAGUUACAAUGGGCCAUAAGUAUUCCCAGCUCCAUUUUGGUGAAGACAUCAAUCAAAAAAAAUUGGGAGGUGCUGAUUCCACAGUUCAUUCAGAUUUUGAUCAUUCCCAGGUGAAGGGCAGCGAAAAUCUGCAGUUUGGCCCUAUGAUGGAGAAUUUAAAAUCUCCAGCGUCACAGUAUGAGGCAUCUUUUCUGCAUGAUAAUAUGGUUUGAGAACGUCCUAUCUUGCUGACUAAAGUUCAUGUUAUUGAUGCUUUUAGGGUGGGAAGUUAGAAAACAGGA